rnacentral:lncRNA from 7 species
CUUCUUUCUCGUUUGUGUUUGUUGCCUGCAGUUCCAAGCAGGUGGACUCUCAGUGUCUUGCAAGUGACAGCUAGCAGCAGCAGGUCCAGCCAGGAGGCACAGCACCCUGCAACCUCCAGGGGCCUUUGUGCGACAGCAGAUGUUGAUGCCCUAGAAGCACGGUGCGGAGCACAUCCUGGGAUCAAGGUGCCACGGACUGGAAAAUGCUGCUGUGGCGGAGUUCCUGUGUGAAGACAAAACUCCCAGUCGCCCAGAAAUGUGGAGGCAGAAGAGCAGUGACAAGGUAUCUACAUGUCUAUCUGUGUAUGUGCACAGCAGGCCCAGCUGCCCCUGCUUCCUCCCUCCACGGGAUCUGCUGCUGCUGCUGCUGGAGUCUCCUCUGGCCACGGUGGCGUGGGGCGAGUUCUUUUGUCAAGCAGGAUCUACCGUUUGUCAACCCCUUGUGACCGGGCCUGAUCCCCUGGUUGACCUUUAAUGAAUCGCAACGUUAUCCAUCCCAUAAGCUACCCUGGCACCGAGGUAAGACUGAUAGGUCUGUAGCUCCCAGGAUCAUCUUCUGGCCCCUUCUGACCUUGAGACCUCAUGCGGCUGUCUCUAAAGUGUCUUGCCCACCUCUUCAUCCUGGUUGGGUGGCCUGUAGCACACUCCCACGCUAACGUCAGUCUUACUGGCCUUUGCUUUUAUUCUGACCUAGAAGCUCUCAGCCCUAUCAUGGCCAUCGUUCAUUUCCAGACAUUCCCAUUCUUUCUUAACGUAGAGGGCUGCACCACUGCCUUUCCUGCCUUGCCUCUCUCUUUUGAAAAGUCGCUAGCCAUCCUUCACAGCACUCCAGCGGUGUGAGUCAUUCCACCACGUUUCUGUGAUUUCCAAGUGACUUUUCUCCUGUUUUUUGAUUCUAACAAAAGCCACUUAGGAUUAUUUUUAUUGUUACUCUUUUUUUAAUGGCAGGCAUUGUGUUCAACUUAGGAAAUGAACGCAUGAAGAAUAGCUUUGUUUGCAUGCUGGUAACUGCUGAGGCUUUGGCUGACGACAGCUUUCAGCUGCACCUGAACUAGGCUGGAUUUGUCUCCUGCUCUCCAUAGGUGAGUAUUUCUCUUUCAUACCUUUGAAGCAGCUUUGUACACAGCUUAAGUGAUGGGACAGGAAUGACUCCAGUAUGGUAACAACGUGAUUUCUAGUGUUUUGGUACGUAGAUUCAAGUCAGUAUGGGUCCAUUUCAGACAGCAUCGUCUCACAUCUGUUUGUUGUCUCAUAUCAAAGGAAUUUUUUCUCAUUUGGCUACAUACAUACUCCACCCAUAGUUUGCGUAUUGUCUUCUUAGGGUGAGGUUUGCCUGCUGAACAGCAAGACAAAAGAAGCUUAAAUUACAGAAGCAGAGAAGCAAAGGCAGCUUAGAGGCUCAAUACAGUACGGAUCAGUUAGAGUAUUACUUUGAAGUUGUUGUGUUCUGGGUCUUAGGUGGGAUGAGAUUCGGGUGUGAAUGUUACAGCCAAGUGUUUUUCCCUUGUUCAUUGUUCACCUGCUGCCAUGCAAGCCAGCUCUUCUUUUCCCUGCCUCUGCUUUUCUUGUUGCAUGCAUAUGCAUCGCAAAAUCUCUGAACAGAUUUAUUUUCCCGUUUUAACAGUGUAUAGCUAGAAGUGGGGCUUAUCUCAGCCUUUUGUCUCAUCAUCUGAUGGAGAUUGGUUGUGUAUGGGGGAGUUUGCACGAAUUAUUAGCAUCUCACCAAAAGCAAGGAC